AUUGAACGCUGGCGGCAGGCUUAACACAUGCAAGUCGAACGAUGAAACUCUAGCUUGCUAGAGAAGAUUAGUGGCGGACGGGUGAGUAACAUUUAGGAAUCUGCCUAGUAGUGGGGGAUAGCUCGGGGAAACUCGAAUUAAUACCGCAUACGACCUACGGGUGAAAGGGGGCGCAAGCUCUUGCUAUUAGAUGAGCCUAAAUCAGAUUAGCUAGUUGGUGGGGUAAAGGCCCACCAAGGCGACGAUCUGUAACUGGUCUGAGAGGAUGAUCAGUCACACCGGAACUGAGACACGGUCCGGACUCCUACGGGAGGCAGCAGUGGGGAAUAUUGGACAAUGGGGGCAACCCUGAUCCAGCCAUGCCGCGUGUGUGAAGAAGGCCUUUUGGUUGUAAAGCACUUUAAGCAGGGAGGAGAGGCUAAUGGUUAAUACCCAUUAGAUUAGACGUUACCUGCAGAAUAAGCACCGGCUAACUCUGUGCCAGCAGCCGCGGUAAUACAGAGGGUGCGAGCGUUAAUCGGAAUUACUGGGCGUAAAGCGAGUGUAGGUGGCUCAUUAAGUCACAUGUGAAAUCCCCGGGCUUAACCUGGGAACUGCAUGUGAUACUGGUGGUGCUAGAAUAUGUGAGAGGGAAGUAGAAUUCCAGGUGUAGCGGUGAAAUGCGUAGAGAUCUGGAGGAAUACCGAUGGCGAAGGCAGCUUCCUGGCAUAAUAUUGACACUGAGAUUCGAAAGCGUGGGUAGCAAACAGGAUUAGAUACCCUGGUAGUCCACGCCGUAAACGAUGUCUACUAGCCGUUGGGGUCCUUGAGACUUUAGUGGCGCAGUUAACGCGAUAAGUAGACCGCCUGGGGAGUACGGCCGCAAGGUUAAAACUCAAAUGAAUUGACGGGGGCCCGCACAAGCGGUGGAGCAUGUGGUUUAAUUCGAUGCAACGCGAAGAACCUUACCUGGUCUUGACAUAGUGAGAAUCCUGCAGAGAUGCGGGAGUGCCUUCGGGAAUUCACAUACAGGUGCUGCAUGGCUGUCGUCAGCUCGUGUCGUGAGAUGUUGGGUUAAGUCCCGCAACGAGCGCAACCCUUUUCCUUACUUGCCAGCGGGUUAAGCCGGGAACUUUAAGGAUACUGCCAGUGACAAACUGGAGGAAGGCGGGGACGACGUCAAGUCAUCAUGGCCCUUACGACCAGGGCUACACACGUGCUACAAUGGUAGGUACAGAGGGUUGCUACACAGCGAUGUGAUGCUAAUCUCAAAAAGCCUAUCGUAGUCCGGAUUGGAGUCUGCAACUCGACUCCAUGAAGUCGGAAUCGCUAGUAAUCGCAGAUCAGAAUGCUGCGGUGAAUACGUUCCCGGGCCU
rnacentral:rRNA from 1 species